ACCAGGUCAUGCUUUGAAUAACACCCGCACAGUGUGUGUGCCAUAUUGUUCUGCCCUGUUCGGUGCUAUAAAUUUCCACAUGGCAUUGAACUACUCAACCUAAUGCGCUGUGAACUUCAGACGAAGAAUGAAGUCUUCUUUCGCAUAAUAACUUCAGCGGGCCUGCAGAAAUACCAAGGGCUGCCCUGAUCUUGACAUGUAUUAGCUCGCCUUGCAGAACAAUUGCUUCUGAGGUAGAAAAAGUGAGCUUUUUACUUCUGAAAAUGACUUAUCAGCUCGAAUAUUUGGUUCAAAGCCAGGCUUAACUUCACAUACAAGACAAAGUGUGCCAGGAGAAAGAGAUAUGUGACUUCACUGUGCAAGACUGACAUCGGACAUAUCAUGGGGAUUGUCCAGUAAUCACUGGUUCUGCUUUGAAAGAUCAGCGGGAAACAAGGUCAAAGUUGAAAUUGUUUGAACUUUGAGCACCAUGUUACAACGCUUGACCAGCUUACAACACACCGCUGGGAGAAAUUCUACAGCUGACGCGUCAAUCUACAGGGUUCAAUGCAUUGGGGAACCACGGGAGUCAUGUGAAAGAGCAAUGCGAUCCAUUGAGAAGCAAAGCCAAGGCGUCUGGGGAGAGAGCCCAAUGGAUAGUUAAAAGUUUAAUUAAAAGCCAAAUGGAUUGUCAACAAACAGACAUUCAGCUUUCAUUAGCUUUUGUCUGGCCCUCAUCAAGCAGAUGAUUGAGGCAAGUCUUGGUCUAAAGAAUGGGAUGUAGCCGCUCUUGCUGGCACGACUCCACUCAAAACAGCAGAGUCAUUUUUACUAACGACUGUGAUAUAGAAUUAGAAAUCAUUUAGGAUACACAUUAGGAAAGCACAGGACAGCAUGCUUUUAAAGUUAAUGACCACACACACUCUGCAUUUCACCUCUGCAAAGAGGUAAAAACGUUUUAGUGGAACUCAAGAUACACGUUACGUUAAAAUGUUGGCCCAUUUUCUAAAGAAAGUGUAAUUUCUGCUAGCCCAUGCAAAACUGAUAAAAAAAUAAUUAGCCUAAUAAUGUAUUGAAAAAUAAAUAGAUGCAUUGCAGAAUGGGUCAGACUGCAAUUGUAACCCAAGUAUGUUUUAUGCAUUUUCCGAGUUGCUGCAAUAGCAAAGUAGUUAGAGUUAAGGGUAUGAAUACUUCCCUAAUCCUAUGUAUGAGCCUUGGCAAAUAUCACUAAUAAACUCUGAGACCUAAAAUACCUCAGCUCUUUACAUUUCAGAUAUACUGUAAAUCCAGUGGUUAGUUUUGGCUCUUACAUACGUUCUUCUGUUUUGUAUAAUAAAAGAAAAGUGCACUAAACCUUCAAUUUGGCGUUGACUACUUCAUUGAGCUUCGAGACACCUCUCCUGUUCAAUCUCAGAUUAGAUUGGAGACAUUGUUGUAAAACCAGACACCGUCUAAAUGGAAGAUUGUGGUCACAAAUGGCCAGUUCUUCCCCAAUAACAAAAGGUGCACUGUCAUUACGUGAGGAUUACUCAUUUAUAGAGAAGCGUGUAUUUCAGAGGACCCAUACUUUUGGUUUGUCUGUGUGUCUCACAGCAUGCCCCGAUUGAAUCUCAAGCUACCAGUAAGAUGAUUAAAUAUAUAUAAGUCUUGUGUCUCCUUGUGAAGCUGAUUAUACCACCAUUGUGCAUUUUCUCAGGACAAGGUCUGUCACAUUAUAUGAAAUGUCUUUCAGAAAAAUCCUUUAAUUAAAAAAAAAAUAAAA